CAGAGAGAUUUCAGGGCACUGGGUGGUGGUGACAGCUCCAGUAGAACUGAUAAUGUGAUGAUGCCAGUAAUAAUGCUAAGCCAAGAACAGGAGAAGGGAGUUUCAUUCAGGGAAAAUAUUAUGAACAAAAGUUCAGAAAGGUAUGUCCAAAGUGAAGACACAUCUCAGGAAAAGGGCAUAAUUUGUUGUGGCCAGAGCAGAGUAUGUAUAAGAAAUGGAAAGACUGGAGGACAUCCUGAGACAAUGACUGAGGAGCUAUGCACCAGUACUCAGCUGGAUCCCUGAUACUUACAUUGACAGAUGCAUUAUCAACACAGACAUUGAUUUACAGUGAAUUAAAUGAGAAAUUAAAUCUCAGGAUAUUGCUACUUGCUAUGAUUCCCUAGAUAGGACUAAAAUUUUGGCAUUCGACAAUCCCUGCCAGUGAUCUCUCCACCACAGCAUCCUGUGUAUACUAAACUAUGGCACAGGUAAGAAAAGCUAUGGAACUUCAGAGGUUCAAAAGAUUAAUUUUGUCCAAAGGCCUCAAGGAAAAAUGUCGUUACUGAGGUGGGAUACUAGAAUUAUUAAAUUUAUUUAUUUAUAUUAAAGAACAUCAAAACAUUGACACUUUGUGUUAUUUUUAAACUUAUGGUGAUACCCAAAGGUUCUCAAAAUAAAUAGCUUCUAACAUUUUAUUGCAGUAUUUUCUAGACUCUGUGGGAGGAAUUCCAUAAAAACAAGGGCAAACACCUUUGGGAAAUGUUGCAUAUGAUAUCGUUUUCUCCGAGAUUCAUAGAGCACAUAGUAAAUAAAAGGCUUUGAAAAUUCCUAUAAAAAGAAAAUUUGUUCAAGUUUGUUAAACUCGGGUUUUCUUUAUCUUAAAAUCUAACACCUGUUACACUUCUUCUGAAAUGCUAAUAUUUUUUUUUAAUUUUUUUUAUUGCAUUUUAGGUUUGGGGGUACAUGUGCAGAACAUGCAAGACAGUUGCAUAGGUACACACAUGGCAGUGUGUUUUGCUUCCUUUCUUCCCUUCACCCACAUUUGGCAUUUCUCCCCAGGCUUCUAUCCCUUGUUCUUAUUCAACUUUAUAGCUUAAUCAAAUUCCAGUUGUGAAGUAAUGACUUCUUUGUUGCUGUUGGAAUAUAAACUCCUUUGUGGCCCAUUGGAUUAGAUUGAAUGUUACUUAUACUGAUGUGCCUACUAGAAUAAAGCUACAUAUCCAUGUGGUUUAUGGCAAAGCCUCCCUUGAAAUAUGAAGUCAUCCUUGAUGUCCAACCACUAGAAAAGGGGUGCCUAUUUAAUACCAGAAACAGAACAUAUGAGAAAGAAUCCUAAGUGUGUUAUGGACUGAGAAUCUCUCUUCUUUCUUUCUUUUUUUUCAUUUUAAGGAAGGAAAGAAGAGAAAGAUAGAGGAAGGAAGAAGGGAAGGAAAGAAGGAAGGAAGGAAGGGGAAAAAGAAGGCAAGGAAGAAAGUCGUUUCGUUUGUCAAACAUUUCCUAAGUGAUAUUUGUAUUCAUGUUUUAUCUGGAUUACUAGAAUUUAUAUAAAAAACAAUUAUGGGUACACUUAAGAAAAUCUAUAUUUUGUGCAAUUGAUUCCCCA
ensembl:lncRNA